CUCAGUUCCUUGUCAGAAGGUUAGCAGCCUGUUGCCAAUAAUGCAGGGGAUAAAAGAAAAGCUCAAACUUCUGUGCUUGAUGUCAAAGACUUGGAUUUAAUGGGAAGAGUUACUUUUUCCUUGGCUUAAAGGAAGAAGACACAAGGUAUGAAUGUAUAUUUCAGACGGUGAGAUGUGCAAGUACAAAUGCAUGCAUGUGUGUGGUCAAGAGAAGGUGGUCCUUUUUAAAAAAUUUUUUUGUGAAACAUAGUCUUGUUCUGUCACGCAGCUCAGAGUGCAAUGGCGCAAUCUCAGGUCACUGCAACCUCCAUCUCCCGGGUUCAAGCGAUUCUUCUGCCUCAGCCUCCCAGAUAUUUUUCAGACCUCACAUUCUGAUGCACCAGCUUCUCCUGGCCCCAGACCAGUUGAGUAAUCUGGCUCAACCAGUUCUUCAAUCCCCCCCAGGGACAGAAGGCCACAUGAAGAACCUGCUUCAACUCCCUGUGAUUUAAUCUCCAGUCCAAGUAAUCAGCAUUCCCCACUCCCUAACCUUCUGCCCACCAAAUUAUCCUUAAAAUACCCUAGUCGCUGAAUCUUUUUCGGGUAAACUGAUUUGAGUAGCAAAAUUCUGGUCUCCUAUUUAGCCAGCUCUGUGUGCAUUAAACAUUUUCUCUGUUGCAAUUUCCCUGUCUUGAUAUCGGCUCUAUCUGGGCAGCAGGCAAGAAGAAAUCACUGGGCAGUUACAUAAAACCCUAGCUUUCAUAUGACUGAAAGUCUGCAGAAUACCAAAGAUAACUGAAUGUAAUUUUUAUUGCAUACAUCUGGGUGUUUUGUUAAUCAGCUAGCAAAGUUUAAAUGAGUAAUAAAGACAGGUAUAACUAAUAAAUUAUUAUACUUAUCCCCACCUCCAAUUUUUUGCUUAAUUUAUUUCAGCCAAAACGGUAACAUUGCUGUUAUAAUCAAGGUUUUUCCAAAUAAUUUGGUAUUAUUAACAGUAACUAUCU
rnacentral:lncRNA from 1 species